GGAUGAGCCCGCGGCCUAUCAGCUAGUUGGUGAGGUAACGGCCCACCAAGGCGACGACGGGUAGCCGGCCUGAGAGGGUGACCGGCCACACUGGGACUGAGACACGGCCCAGACUCCUACGGGAGGCAGCAGUGGGGAAUAUUGCACAAUGGGCGGAAGCCUGAUGCAGCAACGCCGCGUGAGGGACGACGGCCUUCGGGUUGUAAACCUCUUUUAGCAGGGAAGAAGCGAAAGUGACGGUACCUGCAGAAAAAGCACCGGUUAACUACGUGCCAGCAGCCGCGG
rnacentral:rRNA from 1 species